rnacentral:misc_RNA from 1 species
ACUCGUUGCUCUAUAUCAAUUUAUCAAACGCCCAACCCAAAGAGACAAAGAAACAGCGCACGCGCACCGGCGCACGUGUCGCUCGACGCCGUGCGCCGCCGCCCGCCGUUCCGCGAGGAGACAGGCGUCCACCUCUCCCGCCUGCAUGGCUGCCACUUCGCUCUCCUCCCUUCGCUUAUUGACGACGCAUGCCUGCCUCAGACCGACCACCGAAGAAUCCCGCAACCAUGGCGCUCCAGCUUGCCGUCCUCCUCUUACUGCUCCCACUACUCGCCGGCGCGUCCGCCGACGACAAAUUCAUCCGGCAGGUGACGACGCAAGGUACCCGCGCCGGCGCGGGCCCGGGUCUGCUCCCGGAGGCGCAGUUCGCAGCGUUCGUGAGGCGGCACGGGCGGCGGUACUCCGGGCCCAAGGAGUAUGCGCGUCGGCUGCGCGUGUUCGCGGCCAACCUGGCCCGCGCGGCGGCGCACCAGGCGCUGGACCCGACGGCGCGCCACGGGGUCACGCCCUUCUCCGACCUCACGCGGGAGGAGUUCGAGGCGCGCCUCACGGGCCUGCGCGCCGGCGGGGACGUCCAGCGGCUCAUGAGUGGCGUGCCGGCCGCCCCGCCGGCCUCGAAGGAGGAGGUGGCCCGUCUGCCGGCCAGCUUCGACUGGCGCGACAAGGGCGCCGUCACGGGCGUCAAGACGCAGGGCGCGUGCGGGUCGUGCUGGGCGUUCAGCACGACGGGCGCGGUGGAGGGCGCCAACUUCCUCGCCACGGGGGAGCUCGUCGACCUCAGCGAGCAGCAGCUGGUCGACUGCGACCACACGUGCAGCGCGGUGGCGCAGAACGAGUGCAACAACGGCUGCGCCGGCGGGCUGAUGACGAACGCGUACUCGUACCUGAUGGAGUCCGGCGGCCUGAUGGAGCAGAGCGCGUACCCGUACACGGGCGCGGCGGGGCCCUGCCGCUUCGACCCGACCCAGGUCGCCGUCCGCGUGGCCAACUUCACCGCCGUGCCGGCCGGCGACGAGGCCCAGAUCCGCGCGGCGCUCGUCCGCCGCGGGCCCCUCGCGGUGGGGCUCAACGCGGCGUUCAUGCAGACGUACGUGGGCGGGGUGUCGUGCCCUCUCAUCUGCCCGCGCGCGUGGGUCAACCACGGCGUGCUCCUCGUCGGCUACGGCGCGCGCGGCUUCGCGGCGCUGCGGCUGGGCUACCGCCCCUACUGGAUCAUCAAGAACUCGUGGGGAAAGCAGUGGGGUGAGCAAGGGUACUACCGCCUGUGCCGCGGAAGCAACGUAUGCGGCGUCGACAGCAUGGUCUCCGCCGUCGCCGUGGCACCGGCGCUGUGAACGAAUCCAGUGUACUCCUGAAACGGAAGUCCUGGACGGGGCAUGGUAUUGUCUGCACGUGGUAGUGUAGGCUUGGAUACAAGUGAUAAAGGAAUAACAAAUCCCGAUACGUACAGCCGUACAGACCCCACCCAUGUGCUCUUUGCUACUCGUUCCGUUCCAUUCUAAUAUAAAUUAUAUAUAAAUGAGUUCUAAUUUUCUCCGUUCU